GACGAACGCUGGCGGCGUGCUUAACACAUGCAAGUCGAACGAAGAGCGAUGGAAGCUUGCUUCUAUCAAUCUUAGUGGCGAACGGGUGAGUAACGCGUAAUCAACCUGCCCUUCAGAGGGGGACAACAGUUGGAAACGACUGCUAAUACCGCAUACGAUCUAAUCUCGGCAUCGAGGAUAGAUGAAAGGUGGCCUCUACAUGUAAGCUAUCACUGCAGGAGGGGAUUGCGUCUGAUUAGCUAGCUGGAGGGGUAAAGGCCCACGAAGGCGAUGAUCAGUAGCCGGUAUGGGAGGAGGAACGGCCACAUUGGGACUGAGACACGGCACAGACUCCUACGGGAGGGAGCAGUGGGGAAUCUUCCGCAAUGGACGAAAGUCUGACGGAGAAACGCCGCGUGAGGGAUGACGGCCUUCGGGUUGUAAAGCUCGGUUAAUCGGGACGAAAGGCCUUCUUGCGAAUAGUGAGAAGGAUUGACGGUACCGGAAUAGAAAGCCACGGCUAACUACGUG
rnacentral:rRNA from 1 species